AUGGAACUGAUAAAGAUCCACAGGCUUCUGGAGCAUAUGUCUUUCGUCCAAAUGGCACAUUUCCAAUCAAAUCCGAUAGCCAGGCUUCUCUAACUAUGGUUCGAGGUCCGGUACUGGAUGAAGUACACCAACGGCUCAAUCCAUGGAUAUCUUAGGUGAUUUGCUGCUCCAAAUAUAACAAGAUCAUACAGUUGUUUUAGACUUGAUAUAUCAAACUGUAAUUGGGUAGGAAUGAUUAGAUAACAUGUUUGGAAUUGUGUUCUCAACCUAGGGACAUUAUUCCUUAUAAUUUCAGUAACAAACCCAAAUGUAUGCACAGAUUACUAGGGUAUUCAAGGAAAAGGAGCACGCUGAAGUUGAGUUUACUGUAAGUUAACUUCUGAAAUUGAUCUACCAA